GCGCUAAUAGAUGAGCCUAAGUCAGAUUAGCUAGUUGGUGGGGUAAAGGCCUACCAAGGCGACGAUCUGUAGCGGGUCUGAGAGGAUGAUCCGCCACACUGGGACUGAGACACGGCCCAGACUCCUACGGGGGGCAGCAGUGGGGAAUAUUGGACAAUGGGCGCAAGCCUGAUCCAGCCAUGCCGCGUGUGUGAAGAAGGCCUUUUGGUUGUAAAGCACUUUAAGCGAGGAGGAGGCUACUUGGAUUAGUACUCUAGGAUAGUGGACGUUACUCGCAGAAUAAGCACCGGCUAACUCUGUGCCAGCAGCCGCGGUAAUACAGAGGGUGCGAGCGUUAAUCGGAUUUACUGGGCGUAAAGCGUGCGUAGGCGGCUUUUUAAGUCGGAUGUGAAAUCCCUGAGCUUAACUUAGGAAUUGCAUUCGAUACUGGGAAGCUAGAGUAUGGGAGAGGAUGGUAGAAUUCCAGGUGUAGCGGUGAAAUGCGUAGAGAUCUGGAGGAAU
rnacentral:rRNA from 1 species